rnacentral:lncRNA from 1 species
AAAUGCUGUUCUAUAAAACUGACUCACAUUUGUUCACUCUCAUGUGAGAAUGACCACUGACUAUGGACUACUACUGUCCUAAGGAAAAUAAAAUUAAUGUCAUGCAAAUGGAGAAUUGGAGUACAAAUUUAGGUGUGGCUGAAACACACAGGUCUGAAUAUCGAUGAACUGGUAGACUACAAUUACAAGGAUGAGUUUUGAAGCAGUGUGGAUAAGAGCUUCAAGGACCAUCGCCUGUAGUGCAGACGAAGGAGUUUAAGCAGCCUGAGACUUAGUGCUGCAGUGUCUGUAUAACUGAAGAUUUC